rnacentral:rRNA from 1 species
AGUGAACGCUGGCGGUAGGCCUAACACAUGCAAGUCGAACGGCAGCACAGUAAGAGCUUGCUCUUACGGGUGGCGAGUGGCGGACGGGUGAGGUAUACAUCGUAAUCUACUUUUUGGUGGGGGAUAACGUAGGGAAACUUACUCUAAUACCGCAUACGACCUACGGGUGAAAGCAGUGGAUCUUCGGACCUUGCGCGAUUGAAUGAGCCGAUGUCGGAUUAGCUAGUUGGCGGGGUAAAGGCCCACCAAGGCGACGAUCCGUAGCUGGUCUGAGAGGAUGAUCGGCCACACUGGAGCUGAGCCACGGACCAGACUCCUACGGGAGGCAGCAGUGGGGAAUAUUGGACAAUGGGCGCAAGCCUGAUCCAGCCAUACCGAGUGGGUUAAGAAGGCCUUCGGGUUGUAAAGCCCUUUUGUUGGGAAAGAACAGCAGCAGGUUAAUACCCCGCUGUUCUGACGGUACCCAAAGAAUAAGCACCGGCUAACUUCGUG